UGCGGAGGUACUUUAUUCUGGACACCCAGGCCAACUGCCUUCUCUGGUACAUGGACAACCCCCAGAACCUGGCAGUUGGGGCAGGAGCUGUUGGAUCCCUGCAGCUAACCUACAUCUCGAAGGUGAGCAUAGCUACCCCAAAGCAGAAACUCAAAACUCCAUUUUGCUUUGUUAUCAAUGCCCUGUCUCAGAGGUAUUUUCUUCAAGCCAAUGACCAGAAAGAUCUGAAGGACUGGGUUGAAGCCCUGAACCAAGCCAGCAAGAUCACUGUACCCAAAGCUGGGACCCUACCCCUGGCUACUGAAAUUCUCAAAAGCCUACCAGCUCCUCUGGCCCUAGAGAAGAAGCUGCAGGUGGCCUACAAGACAGAGAUCAUCGGAGGAGUGGUGGUGCACACACCCAUCAGCCAGAACGGCGGGGAUGGGCAGGAGGGGAGUGAGCCAGGAUCCCAUGCCAUCCUCCGAAGGUCUCAAAGUUACAUCCCCACGUCAGGCUGCCGUGCUUCCACCGGACCCCCCCUCAUUAAGAGCGGCUACUGUGUGAAGCAAGGGAAUGUGAGGAAGAGCUGGAAAUGUCGCUUCUUUGCACUUGAUGACUUUACCAUCUGCUACUUCAAGUGUGAACAGGACCGAGAACCCCGACGCACUAUAUUUCUCAAGGAUGUUCUCAAGACCCAUGAGUGUCUGGUCAAGUCUGGUGAUCUCUUAAUGAGGGACAACGCGUUUGAAAUAAUAACCAGCUCCAGGACGUUCUACGUACAGGCGGACAGCCCUGAAGACAUGCACAGCUGGAUCAAGGAGAUUGGGGCAGCUGUCCAGGCUCUCAAGUGCCACCCCAGAGAAAUGUCCUUUUCCAGAUCCAUUUCUUUGACCAGGCCUGGAAGCUCCAGCCUCCCAAGUGGGCCUAUUUCUGUCUCGUGUAGAGGGAGGCCACCUAUGGAAGAAAAGAAAGCCCUCUGCAAGGCCCCCUCUGUGGUCUCCUCCUGGCAACCCUGGACACCUGUCCCCAAGGCCGGGGAAAAGCUGGUUCCAGCUGAGGAAGCUCUGGAGGACUCAUUGUUCCUGCCUCGAUUUGGGGAGAGCAGUACUGCUGGGCUGCUGCCCAGCUCCCGGAUGAGGCACAGAUCAGAGCCCCAGCACCUGAAGGAGAAACCAUUUGUGUUCAGCCUUGACGAUGAGAACAUACGGACCUCUGAUGUGUGAUGAAGCAUGGCCAC